UAGCAAAAAAAGACAAAAAAAAAUAAAAGUUAUCUCUGUUCCUGUUGGUAGGACACACGUGUGGAUGUCACAGGACGCAGCAGAACCUGAGACGUAAACAACAGCAAGUGUCCCCUGGGAACCUCCAUAUGUUCCCCCUGGAGGAGGGGAUAUUUAAUCUGGGGGUGGGGGGCUCUGUGGAGUCAAAAAGGGCUUUGGGGGGUAUUCAAGAUCAGGGAGGGGAGGAAGCAGAGCAAAGGUCUCCAGCAUCUUCACUAAGAAGAUCAGCCAGAGAGAUGGCAGGUGCAGAAGAUCAAGGCAGACCAUCUUGGGGCUGGGAGCUUCACCUGGGCCCUCUUGAUGGAGAGAGCCAAUGAAAAUGUUCAAACAGGGGCUGAUGUGGGCAGAUGCUAUUCAUAGCAGCUUAAUUUGGCCUCUUUGCCUAGGGGGGAUGGAAAGAAGAAUGACCAAAUCUGGUGAAAUACACAAGGAAUUCAAAGCAACAAUCCUUGAGCCCAGUACUGGGGAGGAAUUAAAAAAAGGGGGGGGACACAGCUGUCUCCUGGCACCUGCACUUUUCAGCAAGCCCUGCUGGGCUACUAAUGAGAACAACUCUUCAUACCUGGCAGGACCCCAAGUGGUUCCCCUCCCUGCUGCACCAGGAGGCUCAGCAGCUUCUAUCACUAAGAGACCGUGGGACAUCUGGUGCUGGGCCAGUCCUAAGCCUGCUGAGUGUCAGGGCACCUGGGAGACGUGUGAAAACACAAACUCUCCAGCUCUAGCCCAAAACAACUGAAGCAGAAUCUCUGGAGUUCGGCCCUAGAACCAGAAGACUUUAAGAGCUCUGCAGGUGAUGGAGAUCCUUAUCCGGGCUUAGGAUAAUUGCUUCCAGGAUCACUGCUUGCAUUCAGCAGUUUCCCAGCACCCCGGGACCCUGAGGUCUAUGGGUGGUUGCAGAGUGAUUGUUUAUGGUGGCCUGAACCAGGGCCUAGAGGCAGUGCACAUCCUGAGAUCCUGUGAGGAGCUUAUUUACAGUGUUCUGUCAAUCUUCUGUUGGUGGGAGUGUAAAUUGGUACAACCACU